CAUGUCUUUUUGAUAAUAAUUUAAAGUCCGACCUGCCCUAUGAUAAAUAUAUUUAUUGAAUGGCCGCGAUAAUUUGAUCGUGCAAAGGUAGCAUAAUAAUUAGUUUCUUAAUUAGGAACUGGUAUGAAAGGUUAAACGAGAAAAUAACUGUCUCAAUUUAAAUUUAAUUAGAAUUUUAUAUUUAAGUAAGAAAGCUUAAAUAAUUUUAAAAGACGAGAAGACCCUAUAGAGUUUUAUAUUUAAUAAAUUAAUUUUUAGUUUAAGAAUUUAAUUUUAAAAUAUUUUAUUAAAUAUUUAGUUGGGGUGACUAAAAAAUUUAUAAAACUUUUUUUAUAUUUUUUACAUUGAUGUAUGAAUAAGUGAUCCAUAAAUUUAUGAUUAUAAGAUUAAAUUACCUUAGGGAUAACAGCGUAAUUUUUUUUGAGAGUUCUAAUCGAAAGAAAAGUUUGCGACC
rnacentral:rRNA from 1 species